GACGAACGCUGGCGGCGUGCUUAACACAUGCAAGUCGAACGGAAAGGCCCUGCUUUUGUGGGGUGCUCGAGUGGCGAACGGGUGAGUAACACGUGAGUAACCUGCCCUUGACUUUGGGAUAACUUCAGGAAACUGGGGCUAAUACCGGAUAGGAGCUCCUGCUGCAUGGUGGGGGUUGGAAAGUUUCGGCGGUUGGGGAUGGACUCGCGGCUUAUCAGCUUGUUGGUGGGGUAGUGGCUUACCAAGGCUUUGACGGGUAGCCGGCCUGGGAGGGUGACCGGCCACAUUGGGACUGGGAUACGGCCCAGACUCCUACGGGAGGCAGCAGUGGGGAAUAUUGCACAAUGGGCGGAAGCCUGAUGCAGCAACGCCGCGUGCGGGAUGACGGCCUUCGGGUUGUAAACCGCUUUCGCCUGUGACGAAGCGUGAGUGACGGUAAUGGGGAAAGAAGCACCGGCUAACUACGU
rnacentral:rRNA from 1 species